rnacentral:snRNA from 1 species
AGAGAAUUGCUUGAACCCAGGAGGUGGAGGUUGCAGUGCUCCGAGAUUGUGCCACUGCACUGCAGUCUGGGUGACAAGA